GCUUUAAUGUUACAGUUGAGCUGCAAAAAACUGUAGAAGAAAAAACUAGAGAUCAAGCAAAUUCUCGUCUUUGGUUUCGAAUUCUUGCUGGAAGAGUGACUGCUUCAAAGUUCAAAGCAGCUUGUUGCACCAACAGAGAUUCACCUUUGAAGAGUCUGAUCACAAGCAUUUGCUAUCCAGAGCUGAAGAAAUUUUAAACUGCAGCAACAAGAUGGGGUUGCCAGCAUGAAGAGGUGGAAAGAUACGAAUAUUGGAAAUGGCUAAACACAAACCAUGAAAAUGCUUCAGUAACAAACAGUGGAUCCUGGAUUCAUUUGACCUAUGGAUUUCUUGGUGCUUCUCCAGAUGGACUUGUCUCUUGCCAAUGUUGUGGCACUGGGAUUUGUUAUUCAUUGUGUCUAUGUUUCAUGGGGAAAAGGUCAACAUAAUAAAUACAUCACCUGUUGAUUUUGUUUUGAUAGUGUCCAUUUUGCCAUAAAGAUGUGAGACAAUUGAAACUUCAACAGAUGAAAGGUUGUUUUGCAUUGAAGUAAAAAGUGAUAGCACAAAACAACUUAAAAGAACUCAUGCAUAUUACUAUCAAGUUAUGGCUCAGUUGUCAUGCACAGGUUUGAGCUACUGGGAUUUUGUUGUGUGGACAGAGAGACUUGUUUGUUGAACGAAUCUUGCAGAAUAACGAAUUUAUAGAAAGUAACAGAGGCAGCACAGAAAUUUGUGUUGAGGGGACUCCUUCCAGAGUUAACUGGAAAAUGGUACUUAAGACCCCAAAAAAUUGAAUAAAUGAAAUAUAAUGAAAUCAAA